GCUUCUCCCCAUGGGCCACCCCAGAGCUGAAUCGCAGGAGUCUGGGGCUGGGGGCGGGGGCAGCAGGAGGGGGUAGCAUUUGUGCUCAGCAAUGGUAAUUAACAAAAGGCAUUUCUCCCCCUGUGUCGGAAAACACAGGCUCCCCUCCCCCGCUCCGGAGUCCCCGCCUUCCUGCCUCCAAAAUCAAACUGGUCUCUUCCAAUCCUGUGAGGGGGAAAAAUAAAAAAACCCACAAAAUGCCUGGGCCCGCGCCCGAGUGUUUCCAGGCGCAUUGCAAUGCCAAGGCCAAUUCUCCAAGCCAAGGGUCUGAGGGGUGGGAGCAGAUGCAAAUUAACCCGGCUCUUGCGAAACUGGUUUCUUCGCUUCCUUUCCGCGCACAGUAACCGCUGUCAGCAAAUCUCCUCAAAAACCUGCGUCUUCCAUUAGAAACAACCGUCAACAGGCCCUUACCUCCCUCUUCACCUCACACUAGAGCUCUGACAACUUUUCUCUCCGUGUCCCCCUCUCCGUCCUUUCUCAUUUGGACGCCUACAGCCGUGGCGCUCCGCGCCUCCCGCACAACCGACCCGCCGCGGCCGAGGACCAAGCGCGGGGGCUGGGGUCCGAGGUCCGCGCGGCCGCUGGCCCCGGGGGAGGGUCCGGGCGAGCCGGGACCACGCCCCUGAGCCCCGCACCGCCCCCUCCCCUCGGGGCUCUCGUUUGUUUUCCAUUUGAAACGUCCUCCUCUUCCUUCUCUCCUCCCCUGUCCCUCCUCUCUACUCCGCUCCGCCGGGAAGGUUAGACCCUGGGGCCUGGCGUCGCGGGUGCGGAGAGGACAUCGGGCCCGCGCAUGCUCAUGUUGGAAGAGGUCAUCAAGAGCCUGUGAUCACCAACUGACCUAUGAGCUGGACCCCAACAAUUAUAGCUCCAUCUUCUCCCCUGUCCUCGGAAUAUGCAUUCUACUUGCCCUCACCAGGCUGGAAGAUACCCAAGGACAUAGGCUUGAGAUAGUAAAAUAUGGUGUUGAGACCUUACAGAUGUUGUAUGUCACAGCCCAGCACUAUCAUCAGCUCCAGUACACUGGCCUGAAAACCUGUAGCUUCUGCUCCUGA
rnacentral:lncRNA from 1 species